rnacentral:lncRNA from 1 species
CUUAAAGUAAUCCCCAUGGCCAAAAUCAACAGCUGAUUUGGAUACCAUCAAGACAACUGAAACCUUAUCAUGGGCUAGAUGCUGAGGAAGAGACUCCGGGAGGAUCCUGAGGACCCCCUGAUUGCAGCCAUGUCGAGACUGAUGCUGAGGAGGACCCCAACUGUCUUGAGUGACACACAUCGAAUACAGUCACCCACCUGGGGACAGAUCAAGAAGCUAUCACAGAUGGCAGAAGAAAACUUGAGGAAAGUGGGACAACCAGUCACAAUGAAUAAUUUAAUGGCAUAACCAACAGUUCAGCAAUUUAUGAGAUUAUCCUGAGGCUAAUAUGUUUGAAUGAGAUGUCAGAGACAGCUGUAGCUAAAAUUGGGAAGAAACAAACCUCAUUGUUGAUUGUUGCCCAUCACUACCCCUUUCUGGGGUCUUUCAUCACUAGUGUCACCUCCUCCAUCUGAUUCUUACUUCUGCUCUAUGGUAAAGUAAAAUAUCUGAUAAACUGUUACUUAUGCUUAUUUUAUUAUGCUUAGUUUAAUUUGGUGAAUAUAACCAGAGGUAUUUAUAUUUUUGAACAGGUAUUUAUAUACUUGGAAGAAAUCUAAAGGAGGAAAACACCUAUGGGAAGAUUUUUUUUUUUUUUUUUUUGACGGAUUUUCACUCUGUCGCCCAGGCUGGAGUGCAGUGGUGCCAUCUCAGCUCACUGCAAGCUUCGCCUCCCGUGUUCAAGGCGAUUCUCCUGCCUCAGCCUCCACAGUAGCUGGAACUAGUUGUCCGCCACCACGCCCGGCUAACUUUUUUGUAUUUUUUGUAGAGAUGGGGUUUCACCGUAUUAGCUAGGAUGGUCUUGAUCUCCUGAUCUCGUGAUCCACCCGCCCCGGCCUUCCAAAGUGCUGGGAUUACAGGCAUGAGCCACCGUGCCCGGCCACCGUCAGGAAGAUUUUAAGUAUCAUGAAAUGUUAAGAGAAACUGGAUAGGGCUAGAAGGCGUGAUGGGGGUUCUCAAAUUUCAACAUAUGGUGGUAUGUUACCAUAUGGGCAUAGUGUAGAAAUUUCAACCUGAUUUAUUUUGAAGUUUUAAAAUUUUCAAUUUUUGCUCAGUGUAAAAAAUUUUGAAAGUAUAAAUAAAAUAAAGUAAGUAUAAUAUUACUGUAAUAUGAAGCCAUAUUAACAAUCACUAAUAAUAUUGUUG